UGGGAGCUUCGGCGCAAGUGAA
rnacentral:snRNA from 1 species